rnacentral:rRNA from 1 species
UACGUAGGGUGCAAGCGUUAAUCGGAAUUACUGGGCGUAAAGCGUGCGCAGGCGGUUAUGCAAGACCGAGGUGAAAUCCCCGGGCUCAACCUGGGAACUGCCUUUGUGACUGCAUAGCUAGAGUACGGUAGAGGGGGAUGGAAUUCCGCGUGUAGCAGUGAAAUGCGUAGAUAUGCGGAGGAACACCGAUGGCGAAGGCAAUCCCCUGGGCCUGCACUGACGCUCAUGCACGAAAGCGUGGGGAGCAAACAGG